CUCCACAGCUUUCUUUAUAAGGCUGGAAUAAAGCCAUGAGAGGACUUCUGAAAAUAUUCCAAACAGAAUUUCUGGUGGUCAGAGAGAAGCUGUGAUUCUCAGUGCUGGUCUGUCUUUGUUGUUCCUGUGGGAAAUGAAGAGGUCUGAGGAACUGACAGAAAGCUGAACUCAUGGGCACAACACUCCAUUGAAACCACCUGAGACAAGCAGCUGGUUUCCUUUGGAGUGGUUGAAGCACUCAGUGGCUCUGGUUAGGAAGAUUACUGUGAAAACUAGCCAAGUGCUAAAGAAGGACAACAGAGGGGGAAAAUAAAGUGCAAAAAAACCCAGCGUAUUCCAGCAUUUGCUUCAGAAACAAGUUAUAUCCUUCUACUCUCACCAGCUACCAGGCACAGAAAUACUGCAGUCUGGUAAAAGUUACCCA
rnacentral:lncRNA from 1 species